GACGUAGGGCGCGAGCGUUGUCCGGAUUUAUUGGGCGUAAAGAGCUCGUAGGCGGCUUGUUGCGUCGACUGUGAAAACCUGCGGCUCAACCGUGUGGUCUGCAGUCGAUACGGGCAGGCUGGAGUUCGGUAGGGGAGACUGGAAUUCCUGGUGUAGCAGUGAAAUGCGUAGAGAUCAUGAGGAAGACCAGUGGCGAAGGCGGGGCUCUGGACAGUUCCUGACACUGAGACACGAAGGCCAGGGGAGCAAACGGG
rnacentral:rRNA from 1 species